rnacentral:misc_RNA from 1 species
AUGAAGAACGCAGCGAAAUGCGAUACGUAAUGUGAAUUGCAGAAUUCAGUGAAUCAUCGAAUCUUUGAACGCAUAUUGCGCUCUCUGGUAUUCCGGAGAGCAUGCUUGUUUGAGUAUCAGUAAACACCUCAACUUCCAUAUCUUUUUUGAAAUGGGAGUUGGACUUGAGUGAUCCCAACGCUUUUCCUCACCGAAAAGUGGCGGGUUACUUGAAAUGCAGGUGCAGCUGGACUUUUCUCUGAGCUAUAAGCAUAUCUAUUUAGUCUGCCUAAAAAACAGAUUAUUACCUUUGCUGCAGCUAACAUAAAGGAGAUUAGUUCUUGUGCUGACUGAUGCAGGAUUCACAAAGACGGCUUCGGCCGACUUUGUAAACUCGAUCUCAAAUCAAGUAAGACUACCCGCUGAACUUAAGCAUAUCAAUAAGCGGAGGA